rnacentral:rRNA from 1 species
UACGAAGGGGGCUAGCGUUGCUCGGAAUCACUGGGCGUAAAGCGCACGUAGGCGGCUUUCUAAGUCAGGGGUGAAAUCCUGGAGCUCAACUCCAGAACUGCCUUUGAUACUGGAGAGCUUGAGUCCGGAAGAGGUGAGUGGAACUCCGAGUGUAGAGGUGAAAUUCGUAGAUAUUGGGAAGAACACCGGUGGCGAAGGCGGCGACCUGGUCCGAUACUGACGCUGAGGCGCGAAAGCGUGGGGAGCAAACAGG